CCUCCGCCACCAUGCGCUCCUCCGUCUUGCGCAGCUUGAAGCGCGCCUCCAUCUGCCGAAAUGUCCGCGAAAUCAUGUACCAUCGCAAUUUAUAACUGUGUUCAAAUAUAUAAACUUAUUAUUUAAGGAAAAAAAAAACUUUUGGACGUUAACUUUCAGGAGUUGAGUAACUUUUGAACAUUAUUGUGUUUCAAUUGUCCUAUUAUCCAUAUAACUGCCGCUAAUUAGAUUCAGGAGCUUACAGUAUAUAACGACUAAAAGCUGUAUUAAACUAGACUCGACCAAUAUGAUAUCCGGCUGUUCGAUCUUAAUGUUGACAGUCAUCAUGGAAAGCUUCUGCGGCUGCUCUGUUAAAGACGGUGCUGAUACGACGGACACUUUUUUCUUCUGAAGAUUUAAUAAAUAUUGAAGUUAUACUUCUUUUGGAGCAUUGUGGUAAUGGUAGUGAUUUUUAAUUUUUAUGAUGAACGCACAGUAUGACUAAAAGCUACAUCAUGCAGUUAUUUGAGACAGUGAAGUAACAAGUCGUUCGAAAUACACAUUUACAUUGUAUCUUAUUUUAAAAUGUUUAUUUUAUUACAAAUUAAGAAUAUUUAAA